CACAUACACACUCACACUCACACACACACACACACACACACACUCCGGUCAGCAGUUCUGGGGUUUCUCCUCCUGUUUGAUGAUCUUUGAUCGCUGACGGACUCGUCCUCCACAGUCACUCGAUGAACACACUCACGCUCUCACAUGUGCUGAACAACUGAAGAGGAAAAGACCAAAUAUGUGUGUGUGUGUGUGUGUGUGUGUGUGUGUGUGUGUACUGCUCGUCUGUUCUGUGUGUGUGUGUGUGUGUGUGUACUGCUCGCCUGUUCUGUGUGUGUGUGUGUGUGUGUGUGUGUGUACUGCUCGCCUGUUCUGCCUGUAUUUGCACGAUGAUUCUCUUAAGCAAGGCCAUAUCCAGAGGAACACGUAUUUUUUGUAAUUAAAAUCUGCGUACUAUGAGAUUUAUUUUUAAAUAAAGUUGCUAUAGAUGUA